rnacentral:lncRNA from 1 species
GGAACAUCACAAGAACUUACAAGACCAAGUGCUUGCGGCAUUUGCGAGUUUUCGCUCACUCAUGUUCGAGGGAAACAUGCUUGCGUGCAUGGGGAGGAUGGAUGCGUUUGACCUUAAGAAGCACCCAAAAUCACGCGUGAAAAAAUGUCUGUUGUUUAGAUUAGUGAGAGGCAAGUAGGUCGGACUCGGGGGUCAGUUUCAGAGGAAUUGAGGGAAGGGGGUUGGGCCAUGAGACCAUGUGCCUAAUUAGCACCAUUGUCAAAAAUGGACGUUUUCCAAUUCCAGGCAAAACACGAGGCGUUCCCAGUGUGACUUCGAUCACGCAGCCACGGCAGCCAGGUCUAACAACGGGCUUGUGAGGUGCCUCGGACUACAAGGUUGCACGGUUUCAACAUCUGCGAAGUAGUUAGUGGUUUGCGCCUGCCAUUCUAGUCUUCACGGAUGUUCAUUGUGGCUUUCCAGGUUACUUGGAUAGGGACUCGGUGAUAUGCCCGCAUGCAGGUUUGGGCAGGGAACAUCACAAGAACUUACAAGACCAAGUGCUUGCGGCAUUUGCGAGUUUUCGCUCACUCAUGUUCGAGGGAAACAUGCUUGCGUGCAUGGGGAGGAUGGAUGCGUUUGACCUUAAGAAGCACCCAAAAUCCUAAAAUUGUAGAUCGCCUGUCGUCACACGCAUGCCACGCUGAAAAUGUCUGUUAUUUAAUUAGUGAGAGGCAAGUAGGUCGGACUCGGGGGUCAGUUUCAGAGGAAUUGAGGGAAGGGGGUGGGGCCAUGAGACCAUGUGCCUUAUUAGCACCAUUGUCAAAAAUGGACGUUUCCCAAUUCCAGGCAAAACACGAGGCGUUCCCAGUGUGACUUCGAUCACGCAGCCACGGCAGCCAGGUCUAACAACGGGCUUGUGAGGUGCCUCGGACUACAAGGUUGCACGGUUUCAACAUCUGCGAAGUAGUUAGUGGUUUGCGCCUGCCAUUCUAGUCUUCACGGAUGUUCAUUGUGGCUUUCCAGGUUACUUGGAUAGGGACUCGGUGAUAUGCCCGCAUGCAGGUUUGGGCAGGGAACAUCACAAGAACUUACAAGACCAAGUGCUUGCGGCAUUUGCGAGUUUUCGCUCACUCAUGUUCGAGGGAAACAUGCUUGCGUGCAUGGGGAGGAUGGAUGCGUUUGACCUUAAGAAGCACGCCAUGCCACGCGUGAAAAUGUCUGUUGUUUAGAUUAGUGAGAGGCAAGUAGGUCGGACUCGGGGGUCAGUUUCAGAGGAAUUGAGGGAAGGGGGUUGGGCCAUGAGACCAUGUGCCUAAUUAGCACCAUUGUCAAAAAUGGACGUUUUCCAAUUCCAGGCAAAACACGAGGCGUUCCCAGUGUGACUUCGAUCACGCAGCCACGGCAGCCAGGUCUAACAACGGGCUUGUGAGGUGCCUCGGACUACAAGGUUGCACGGUUUCAACAUCUGCGAAGUAGUUAGUGGUUUGCGCCUGCCAUUCUAGUCUUCACAGAUGUUCAUUGUGGCUUUCCAGGUUACUUGGAUAGGGACUCGGUGAUAUGCCCGCAUGCAGGUUUGGGCAGGGAACAUCACAAGAACUUACAAGACCAAGUGCUUGCGGCAUUUGCGAGUUUUCGCUCACUCAUGUUCGAGGGAAAAUUGCUUGCGUGCAUGGGGAGGAUGGAUGCGUUUGACCUUAAGAAGCACCCAAA